rnacentral:tRNA from 4 species
GCGGCCGUGGUGCAAUGGCUGACACAGCAGGUUUAGGUCCUGUGGCCCUCACGGGCUUGAGGGUUCGAAUCCCUCCGGCCGCA